GAAUAUUGGGCAAUGGGCGGUAGCCUGACCCAGCCAUGCCGCGUGCAGGAAGACGGCGUUCUGCGUUGUAAACUGCUUUUAUACGGGAAGAAAAGGCCCAUGCGUGGGACAUUGCCGGUACCGUAUGAAUAAGCACCGGCUAACUCCGUGCCAGCAGCCGCGGUAAUACGGAGGGUGCGAGCGUUGUCCGGAUUUAUUGGGUUUAAAGGGUGCGUAGGCGGCCAUUUAAGUCAGCGGUGAAAGUCUGUGGCUCAACCAUGGAACUGCCGUUGAUACUGGGUGGCUUGAGUGUUGGUGGGGUACAUGGAAUUUAUGGUGUAGCGGUGAAAUGCAUAGAUACCAUAAGGAACACCGAUAGCGAAGGCAUUGUACUUACCAACAACUGACGCUGAGGCACGAAAGCGCGGGUAUCGAACAG
rnacentral:rRNA from 1 species